rnacentral:rRNA from 1 species
UACGUAGGGUGCAAGCGUUGUCCGGAAUUAUUGGGCGUAAAGAGCUCGUAGGCGGUCUGUCGCGUCGGCUGUGAAAACCCGAGGCUCAACCUCGGGCCUGCAGUCGAUACGGGCAAACUAGAGUACUGCAGGGGAGACUGGAAUUCCUGGUGUAGCGGUGAAAUGCGCAGAUAUCAGGAGGAACACCGGUGGCGAAGGCGGAUCUCCGGGCCUGUUCUGACGCUGAGGCGCGAAAGCUAGGGGAGCGAACAGG